rnacentral:rRNA from 1 species
GUGCCAGCCGCCGCGGUAAUACGGAGGGUGCAAGCGUUAAUCGGAAUUACUGGGCGUAAAGCGUACGCAGGCGGUUUGUUAAGCGAGAUGUGAAAGCCCCGGGCUCAACCUGGGAACUGCAUUUCGAACUGGCAAACUAGAGUGUGAUAGAGGGUGGUAGAAUUUCAGGUGUAGCGGUGAAAUGCGUAGAGAUCUGAAGGAAUACCGGUGGCGAAGGCGGCCCCCUGGACAGAUACUGACACUCAGAUGCGAAAGCGUGGGGAGCAAACAGGAUUAGAAACCCCCGUAGUCC